rnacentral:rRNA from 2 species
GCUUAGCCUUAAACCCAGAUGUAUCAUUACACACACAUCCGCCCGGGUACUACGAGCACAGCUUAAAACCCAAAGGACUUGGCGGUGUCUCAGACCCACCUAGAGGAGCCUGUUCUAGAACCGAUAAUCCUCGUUAAACCUCACCACUUCUUGUCUUAUCCGCCUAUAUACCGCCGUCGUCAGCUUACCUUGUGAAAGCCUAUAACAGUAAGCAAAAUUGGCAAACCCAAAAACGUCAGGUCGAGGUGUAGCGUACGAAGUGGGAAGAAAUGGGCUACAUUUUCUAAUAAUAGACUACUACGAAUAGCACCCUGAAACGAGUGCCUAAAGGUGGAUUUAGCAGUAAAAAGUAAACAGAGAGUUCUUUUGAAUCAGGCUCUGAGACGCGC